rnacentral:rRNA from 1 species
GUCGCAAGACGUAAGCGAUGGAUAACAGGUUUAGAUUCCUGUACCACGCAUUAUCAGAACUGUAGGGACGCAUGUGGAAAGCACGGGCCGGGAAUGGAAAGACCGGUACAAGCGGGGUAGGUGUACAAUAGGCAAAUCCGUUGUAUAAUCCGAAGACGUGAUGUGGAGCGAAAUAAAGUAGUGAAGCGUGUGAGCCAUGUGCCGAGAAAAGCUGCUAUUGUGUAAUGCGUGCCCGUACCGUAAACCGACACAGGUGGAUGAGGAGAGAAUCCUAAGGCCGGCGGAAGAAGCAUUGUUAAGGAAUUCGGCAAAAUGACCCCGUAACUUCGGGAGAAGGGGUGCCUGCGAGAGCAGGCCGCAGAGAAUAGGCUCAAGCAACUGUUUAGCAAAAACACAGGUCUAUGCGAAACCGAAAGGUGAAGUAUAUGGGCUGACGCCUGCCCGGUGCUGGAAGGUUAAGAGGAGAGGUUAGCUUCGGCGAAGCUUUGAAUUUAAGCCCCAGUAAACGGCAGCCGUAACAAUAACGGUCCUAAGGUAGCGAAAUUCCUUGUCGGGUAAGUUCCGACCCGCACGAAAGGCGUAAUGAUUUGAGCACUGUCUCGACAAUGCAUCCGGUGAAAUUGAAGUACCAGUGAAGAUGCUGGUUACCCGCGCCAGGACGGAAAGACCCCAUGGAGCUUUACUCCAGUUUGAUACUGGGAUUCGGUACUGCAUGUACAGGAUAGGUGGGAGACGAAGAAGGAUGACGCCAGUCUGUCCGGAGUCGCUGUUGGGAUACCACCCCUGUAGUACUGGGUUUCUAACCAGUUGCCAUGAACUGGCAAUGGGACAAUGUCAGGCGGGGAGUUUGACUGGGGCGGUCGCCUCCGAAAGGGUAUCGGAGGCGCUCAAAGGUUCCCUCAGAAUGGUUGGAAACCAUUUGAAGAGUGCAAAGGCAGAAGGGAGCUUGACUGCGACACCGACGGGUGGAGCAGGUACGAAAGUAGGACUUAGUGAUCCGGUGGUAUAAAGUGGGAUUGCCAUCGCUCAACGGAUAAAAGCUACCCUGGGAUAACAGGCUUAUCACUCCCAAGAGUUCACAUCGACGGAGUGGUUUGGCACCUCGAUGUCGGCUCAUCGCAUCCUGGGGCUGUAGCAGGUCCCAAGGGUUGGGCUGUUCGCCCAUUAAAGCGGUACGCGAGCUGGGUUCAGAACGUCGUGAGACAGUUCGGUCCCUAUCCGGCGCGGGCGGAGGAUAUUUGAGAGGAGCUGUCCUUAGUACGAGAGGACCGGGAUGGACGGACCACUGGUGUAUCUGUUGUCGACCAACGGCAUGGCAGAGUAGCCAAGUCUGGAAGGGAUAAACGCUGAAGGCAUCUAAGCGUGAAGCCCCCCUCAAGAUGAGAUAUCCCUCCUUCGGGAGUAAGACCCCUUGAAGACUACAAGGUAGAUAGGGCAGAGGUGGAAGCAUGGCAACAUGUGGAGCUGACUGUUACUAAUAGGUCGAGGGCC